GCGCCCUCGUCCUCGUCGUCCUCUUUACUCACCUGGGGGCUGUCGCAGAAUUCACUCCUUCGGUUCAUCAAUCCCCACCUUUGCUGCUGCUGCUGGAGGAGCUGAUGCUGGUGGUGGUGCCUCCGGAUCGACAUGAGGGGUGCAUUUAGAUCCAACUUCUUCUCCCGGAGGAACUCCUGGGAUUGCUGCUGCUGCUGCUGUAGGAGCUGCUGCUGGAUAAUGCUCGAGAACACCAUCGCUGGAGUCUAGCUUCUACCAGGAACAGCUACAUUGAUCCAAAUCUCCAUCGCUGGCUCUCGCAAUGCCGAAACUCUGGAUCGAUCAAGCGAAACACAGAAAAGAAUAAGAAGAGAGGUAAGUAUUUCUAUCCUCGUGGAGGUUUAAUAUAUGUUUUCCUCCCAGCCAAACGAAGAAACACCAAGAGUGUGAUCGCGAGGCGUAGCUCAACAAGGAACUACCACCGAUUCCCAUAGAACCUGCAUUGCCCCCCCAUCCCAUCGCGCUUACAACACACAGAUAAAAUAGAAGAAGCGAACACCACAAGAACGAGAAAACUGGAAGAACGAAAAAAAAACAGAGAGUAAAAGCCGUCGGAUAUUCUGUCUGAUCCAGACACGUGACGGGGAUAUUCUGGUCCGUCAACUUUGGCUGGCCCAUGCAGGGAAAUUCCUAUGUGUGUAAAGGACCAUGGGAUUAAACAUAGAAGACUGGACCAACCAA